CCUACGGGAGGCAGCAGUGAGGAAUAUUGGUCAAUGGGCGCGAGCCUGAACCAGCCAAGUAGCGUGAAGGAUGACUGCCCUACGUGUGGUAAACUUCUUUUAUAAAGGAAUAAAGUGAGGCACGUGUGCCUUAUUGUAUGUACUUUAUGAAUAAAGCACGGCUAACUCUGUGCCAGCAGCCGCGGUGAUACGGAGGAUCCGGACGUUAUCCGGCUUUAAUGGGUUUAAAGGGAGCGUAGAUGGGUUGUUAAGUCAGUUGUGAAAGUUUGCGGCUCAACCGUAAAAUUGCAAUUGAUACUGGCAGUCUUGAGUACAGUUGAGGUAGGCGGAAUUCGUGGUGUAGCGGUGAAAUGCUUAGAUAUCACGAAGAACUCCGAUUGCGAAGGCAGCCUACUAAACUGCCACUGACAUUGAUGCUCGAAAGUGUGGGUAUCAAACAGGAUUAGAUACCCUUGUAGUC
rnacentral:rRNA from 1 species